rnacentral:rRNA from 1 species
AUGGAAAUACCAUCCUGAAUGUGCCCAGUCUUCUCUGAUCUUGGAAGCUAAGCAGGGUCAGACCUGGUUAGUACUUAGAUGGGAUACUCUACUUUUAGUAGUUCCUGGUUGAAAUUCAUA